rnacentral:rRNA from 1 species
CCUACGGGGGGCAGCAGUGGGGAAUAUUGGACAAUGGGGGCAACCCUGAUCCAGCCAUGCCGCGUGUGUGAAGAAGGCCCUCGGGUUGUAAAGCACUUUCAGUGAGGAAGAACGCCUGGUGGUUAAUACCCAUCAGGAAAGACAUCACUCACAGAAGAAGCACCGGCUAACUCCGUGCCAGCAGCCGCGGUAAUACGGAGGGGGCGAGCGUUAAUCGGAAUUACUGGGCGUAAAGCGCGCGUAGGUGGCUUGAUAAGCCGGUUGUGAAAGCCCCGGGCUCAACCUGGGAACGGCAUCCGGAACUGUCAAGCUAGAGUGCAGGAGAGGAAGGUAGAAUUCCCGGUGUAGCGGUGAAAUGCGUAGAGAUCGGGAGGAAUACCAGUGGCGAAGGCGGCCUUCUGGACUGACACUGACACUGAGGUGCGAAAGCGUGGGUAGCAAACAGGAUUAGAUACCCCGGUAGUC